CUUUAUAAAUGGUUAAAAUUAAUAAAAAAAAUAUCACUUGUGAUAAAUACAAGCAAUACUAAACCUCCUCUCGAAAUCAGUGCAGGAUUAUUCAAGUUCUUAAAUACUUGUUCCAUUGAUUCGAUCAUUGUGUUCGAGCUGGUUAUGUGGACUACUGGCUACGUAUAAUAAUCCUUAAUAAAUAAAAAAUGACGGGAAGAAAAAAAGAUUCAAUAUGAUGUCAUUUCAUUGAAGUUAAAGAAGAACACAACAAAUAUGUUAAAGCAAGAUGUAAAAAAUGCAAUACAAUUAUCGCAGGAUUGGUGGCUAGACUAAAGGCACACGUGAGGAAGUGUAGCUCUACAUUAGUUAAUCACAUUGAUAUUGAUGAAGAUAGCGCUUCUGAUCUAUAAUAACUGACAGCAUCUGUCCUCAUCGUUCUCGAUCUCCAUCUUUUUCAAGUAACUCAACAACCGAUACAGUCGCACGUACUUUACUAUCAACAUCUGCAGCAUCCACGCCAACACAACCUAAAUCAAUGGAUAUAGAAUCAUUUGUUGUUAGAACAUCAUUUGCAAACAAAAAAAAGUUUGAUUUAUAGAUAGCUACAUUUAUUUACGUCACAAACUCGUUCUUCAGACAUGUGGAAUAUCUCCAGAAUUUAUAAAAUUAAUAAACUUGUUGCAUCCUGGCUAUAAAUCACCUUUAAGACAGCAAAUUGCAAAUUAAUUAUUUAAAUGCUGAAGUAUUUAAUUCAGAAUUGGUUAAAAUAAAAGACUGUUUAAAUGGAAAGAAUGUAUGGCUCAAAAUGGAUGGAGCAAUAUUCAUAAUGAUUUUAUAAAUAUUUGUUAAAUUUGGCAAUAACUUCAAUCAAAAGUCAACAAUAUGGAUGCAGAAUUAGAAGCAUUGUGACCGAUAAUGCAGCAAAUAUGCAUAAAAUGAGAGAAGAAUUGACAAAAUCAGAAGAAUCUUGAUAUUUGAACAGGAUUUGUGCAUAUUAUAAAAUGUCUUGUCAGGUGCAGUCCAAGAUGCACAAACUCUAAUAAAGAAGGAUAUUGCUACACAACAUUUGCCCAAAAUCCAAACUCGAGACAAAAAUGGAUUGAUGCUAAAAUUCCUGUUUGGAAACCUUCAGAAUCAGCUUUACUGUGAGAGGUUCAUUUCCGUUCAUCAGAAUUAUUCCGCGUUGGUAACAAAAAAAUUAUGAGGAAAGGCCAUACCAAAUUUGUUUUGCAAAUGUGAUGAAUCUGUAAAAUUAAAAAGAAGAAAAAAAUUGAAACAUAUUAUUCAUAAUGAUAGU